rnacentral:rRNA from 1 species
GAACGCUGGCGGCAGGCCUAACACAUGCAAGUCGAACGGAGUUAUAUUGUAGCUUGCUAUGAUGUGACUUAGUGGCAGACGGGUGAGUAAUGUAUAGGAAUCUACCUAGUAGUACGGAAUAAUUGUUGGAAACGACAACUAAUACCGUAUACGCCCUACGGGGGAAAAAUUUAUUGCUAUUAGAUGAGCCUAUAUUAGAUUAGCUUGUUGGUGGGGUAAUAGCCUACCAAGGCAAUGAUCUAUAGCUGAUCUGAGAGGAUGAUCAGCCACACUGGAACUGAGAUACGGUC